rnacentral:sRNA from 1 species
ACUUCCCCUCAACGCGCUGCUCAGGGAUGACCUUCGGCACUGUGCUUCUUCUGAGUGUCCUGGCUUCUUAUCAUGGAUUCAACCUGGAUGUGGAGGAGCCUACGAUCUUCCAGGAGGAUGCAGGCGGCUUUGGGCAGAGCGUGGUGCAGUUCGGUGGAUCUCGACUCGUGGUGGGAGCACCCCUGGAGGUGGUGGCGGCCAACCAGACGGGACGGCUGUAUGACUGCGCAGCUGCCACCGGCAUGUGCCAGCCCAUCCCGCUGCACAUCCGCCCUGAGGCCGUGAACAUGUCCUUGGGCCUGACCCUGGCAGCCUCCACCAACGGCUCCCAGCUCCUGGCCUGUGGCCCGACCCUGCACAGAGUCUGUGGGGAGAACUCGUACUCAAAGGGUUCCUGCCUCCUGCUGGGCUCGCGCUGGGAGAUCAUCCAGACAGUCCCCGACGCCACGCCAGAGUGUCCACAUCAAGAGAUGGACAUCGUCUUCCUGAUUGACGGCUCUGGAAGCAUUGACCAAAAUGACUUUAACCAGAUGAAGGGCUUUGUCCAAGCUGUCAUGGGCCAGUUUGAGGGCACUGACACCCUGUUUGCACUGAUGCAGUACUCAAACCUCCUGAAGAUCCACUUCACCUUCACCCAAUUCCGGACCAGCCCGAGCCAGCAGAGCCUGGUGGAUCCCAUCGUCCAACUGAAAGGCCUGACGUUCACGGCCACGGGCAUCCAGACAGUGGUGACACAGCUAUUUCAUCAUAAGAAUGGGGCCCGAAAAAGUGCCAAGAAGAUCCUCAUUGUCAUCACAGAUGGGCAGAAGUACAAAGACCCCCUGGAAUACAGUGAUGUCAUCCCCCAGGCAGAGAAGGCUGGCAUCAUCCGCUACGCUAUCGGGGUGCGUCUCUUCUUCACCCCUGCCCCAGGCUCAGCCUGCACCUCCUUCAGGUGCAGUGCUGCUGGGCUCAUCCUCCUCGGCUGCCUCUCUGCUGCAGGUGGGACACGCUUUCCAGGGACCCACUGCCAGGCAGGAGCUGAAUACCAUCAGCUCAGCGCCUCCGCAGGACCACGUGUUCAAGGUGGACAACUUUGCAGCCCUUGGCAGCAUCCAGAAGCAGCUGCAGGAGAAGAUCUAUGCAGUUGAGGGAACCCAGUCCAGGGCAAGCAGCUCCUUCCAGCACGAGAUGUCCCAAGAAGGCUUCAGCACAGCCCUCACAAUGGUGGGUAGAGCCUGCCCUCAAUCCAUAGCUCUUGGAUACCAACUCUGCGCCCACCCUGGGCUGGGGGCUGGGAGCCAGACAUAAACAAGAGCAGACCCCAUCCUCAAUCGCCAGGGAGAGG